ACACACACAAAAGACCCUCCCCCUCGUUUUUUCUCAGUGGUCACAAAGCCGGGGAAAACAAAAAAAAAACAGAGCAGAACAAAACAAAACCAGCACGAACAAUCGAACAGAAAUCAGGGAAAGGAGGGGCGUUUCUUGUAUUUUGGGGGCUCAGCCUGCAACCAAAACUCUCCUCCCAAAAUGCCUCUAAAAAUCUUCCCGUUGCGGUGAAGAAAGGACAGAGGAGGCAGGCAGAACCAACUCUUCAGCAGAGAACCACGCACGGAUGAGAGAGGCUCUGAAUUUCCAAAGUGGCCAUAAAGCAGAUGCUUGAGGACAGGACAAGGACGGAUCCCCAGCACAUUCUCACAGUCUGCAGGAGCUCCAGCACUUCUUUGGCCAGAGAAAAACUCACGCAUUUUGGUUAACGCCAUCCAGAUUAUUGUUCUGGGAUGCAGAAUGCAGCAGGCCUUGGGAUACCCACCUGCAGCUGCCACCUCCACAACACUUCAUCUGUGUACUGUGCUUGUGAACAUGGAGGGCCAGAAGAAUGAUAACAUGUGCUGCUGUCCUGUUCUCCCCCUGAAACUCCUCUGAUUUUCCUGUGUGUGUUCAACAUGAUAUAUACUUCUCUCUUUUUCAAGAUGAUGACCUAUUUUUCUACCAUCACUGCAGAAUACAUUAUCAUAAACCAUAUUUUUCACGUUUAUUGCGCUGGACUGUAGAAUCAUUAUUUAUAAGAAUUAUAAGGUUGUCUACGUGUUUUAUUUUCAGCAUUAAACUUGGCUGAAGUUAGAG
rnacentral:lncRNA from 7 species